AACGAACGCUGGCGGCAUGCCUAACACAUGCAAGUCGAACGAGACCUUCGGGUCUAGUGGCGCACGGGUGCGUAACGCGUGGGAAUCUGCCCUUGGGUUCGGAAUAACAGUUGGAAACGACUGCUAAUACCGGAUGAUGACGUAAGUCCAAAGAUUUAUCGCCCAAGGAUGAGCCCGCGUAGGAUUAGCUAGUUGGUGAGGUAAAGGCUCACCAAGGCGACGAUCCUUAGCUGGUCUGAGAGGAUGAUCAGCCACACUGGGACUGAGACACGGCCCAGACUCCUACGCGAGGCAACAGUGGAGAAUAUUAGACAGAGGGCGAAAGCCUGAUCCAGCAAUGCCGCGUGAGUGAUGAAGGCCAUAGGGUUGUAAAGCUCUUUUACCCGAGAUGAUAAUGACAGUACCGGAAGAAUAAGCUCCGGCUAACUCC
rnacentral:rRNA from 1 species